rnacentral:rRNA from 1 species
GAGGAAAAGGAACCAACAGGGAUUGCCCCAGUAACGGCGAGUGAAGCGGCAACAGCUCAAAUUUGAAAUCUGGUCCCCAGGGCCCGAGUUGUAAUUUGCAGAGGAUGCUUUUGGUGAGGUGCCUUCCGAGUUCCCUGGAACGGGACGCCAUAGAGGGUGAGAGCCCCGUCUGGUUGGAUACCGAGCCUCUGUAAAGCUCCUUCGACGAGUCGAGUAGUUUGGGAAUGCUGCUCUAAAUGGGAGGUAUAUGUCUUCUAAAGCUAAAUAUUGGCCAGAGACCGAUAGCGCACAAGUAGAGUGAUCGAAAGAUGAAAAGCACUUUGAAAAGAGGGUUAAAUAGUACGUGAAAUUGUUGAAAGGGAAGCACUUAUGACCAGACUUGGCCCCGGUGAAUCAUCCAGCGGUUCCCGCUGGUGCACUUUGCCGGGGUUCAGGCCAGCAUCAGUUCGCUCCGGGGGAUAAAGGCUUUGGGAAUGUGGCUCCCUCGGGAGUGUUAUAGCCCAUUGCGUAAUACCUUGUGGCGGGCUGAGGUUCGCGC